rnacentral:lncRNA from 1 species
CAGAUCUCUAAGUCUCAUGCCACAACAUUAAAUCAAGAGUAUCACCACUGGCAGUUUUUAGAAAAUGAACUGAAGGAUGCUGUGCAAGAAGAGAAUCGCCUGAGCCUUCAGUAUGCAAGUGUGUCCCACAAAGCACUGCAAUAUGACCAGGUGAAAUCAGACUAUGAACAUCUUAGAGAAACCCUUAUCAGAGUGACCAAAGAACGAGAUUUGGCUGUAAAGGAAAAACACCAGCUCCAAGCCAAGCUGGAGAACUUAGAGCAGGUCCUAAAGGCUCAGGUUGAAGCUAAGAAGGAACAUGAAGGAGCAGUUCAGUUG